AUUAAGAGAAGAUUAUACCUGAAUGAUGCGUUGGAUUAUAUUGAUGAUGGAUUGUGUUGAAUGAUUAGAUAAUUAUGUGGAUAAUUUGGAUAGAACUCUGCUAUUCAGAAAUAGAACAACUAUUUCAACAGAGAAGACAAUUGAGAUCAACUCAAGUCUUAAACACUCAAACUUAGCUUGUUAUUUCAUUUGGGCAAAGGCCCUAUUUAUAGGCUCAAGAGAGCCGGUUACAAUUAUUGUUGCAAUCGUUUGAUUGCAAUACGACAUAUAUAUUUACAUUAUAGCCCCCUAGACUAUUGAGGGUUAUACACUUUAUGUUACAUUAACCGACACUUAAUAAUUAUUCUACCGACACUUAUUUAAUUACAUAACAAUCCUUCUACCGACACUUUACAUAAUGAAAAAUAUAAUAAUCUCUUUCAUGAAAGGACAGGUGUCUUCAAUUAUGGCUUUUUACGUUAUUGCUUACAUCAUUCCUCCCGCCUCCGAAAAGACAUAUUUUUGAAUAAUUUUUUCUUUCAUCGUUAAUCUUCCAUGAAUGGUGUUUCUUCUGUGUUUUCUGAACAGUGACUGCAAUUGUGUCUUGAUGCAUGCAUAAUAUGUUUGCAAAGUUGUUUUUUGCUAUCAGCAGGUAAUUCAGCUAAUUGAUGAGAAAACUUUUCGAAAGGUUGUUCGAAAGUUUCAAUUGCUUUCAUUGCUUCCGGAGUGAUUUCACUGUCUGUUAACGAAUAGAUAAUGAAAGUUUUACUGGCGUAGUUCACUCUGAUUCUUGAUUUCUGAUCUUUACCGUUGCCUAUGCGUGAUGAUGCUAAAUAGACACCGGCGAGUGCAAAGAUUAGGUGAUCCUGUGUUGGUGAUUCUCGUGGUAGAUCAUCUUUUGUUGGUUUUGAGCCAUUGCUUAUUCCCAUGUUUGCGAAAGUAAUACUUGGGACAAUUAGUUGAGAGUCUUCAUCAAAAAUUGGGUAGCUAGAAUGCAUUUUAAUGAAUAAUCCUCUUUCCUGUUUUGCAAAUCGUAUUUUAUAAUUUCUGAUGAUAGUUUGCACAGCAGAAGGGAACUCGCUGACGCAAUGUAAAUUGGUGCCUUCUAGAUAGAUGGUGUCGAUGAAUCCAUGAAUAAAAUAAUCCCAUAAAGUCAUAGGAUCUGAUAGGUCGGCUAAGAAGACUGCUUUAGGACCUGGGCGUCUGGCUACUGGGUAAAAGCCCAUCAAAGAAUGGACCUCGGUGUAUGAAAUGAGGCUGUCCCAUAAUUCGGCAAAUUUUUUGGCAGAUGGUUUUUUCAUGGCUUCUUUUUCUUUUGUUGAUAGAAUGGAUUCAAGAGCAAUUUUUGCAUUUAAUUGGUUAAGGGAUCUUGGGAUGGAUACGGGUUUUUGUGGUGUGAAGCUGGAUGUAGAUUUUUGUGGUGUUAGGAGAACUGUUUUUGAACAUUUGACGUUAUCUGUUAUUACUGCUUUGUAUGCUUCGUUGUAUGCGGUUUCUGCUUCAUUUUUCGUUCUGUAGCUUUUGUGAAUGAUAUUUUUUCCAAGAAUAUAUGAACUAGCGAUUCCCCAAUCGUCAUAUACUCCUUUGUUUUCUCCGUUGAAAAUUACGUACCAUUUCUUUAUAUUUUUAUGAUCUGCUUGUAGUGGUGGAUAUUCCUCAUGGUUUGGCGUCAUGGUUUGUUGACUUUCAUCGGAUGAUAUUUCUUGAAUUUCUUCUUUAGGUUGCUUUGUUGUUGAGCUGUUGGCUGCUUCUUCUUUAGAUGCUGAACAAGAUGAUAGAAUUUGUAUUGUUUGUUGUAGUUGCUCUUUUUCACGUUUGACUACUUCAAGCUGUCUGAUUAAUGAUGCCUCUUGCUCCUCUUUUUGUUUGAGCGGGUGUUUGACUUGCUUCAUGAUGGCUUCCAUUUCAAUAUUUUUGCUGAGUGAAUAUUUGCGCCUUUUGGGUACCUGAAUGAUUGCUAAAUGAUGCUUGCUUUUAAUAUUUUAAAUGAUGAUAUGAGAAUUUUCAUAUCAAUGUAUGCUUUGGUGAUAUUUUCAUAUCACUGUAUACUUUAUCAUUGUUUACUUUGGAUGGUAUUUUCAUACCAAUAUAUGCUUUAGCAAUGUAUACUUUGGAUAGGUUAGAUAUGAGGUUUCCCUCAUGUUCUAAACCCAAUAAUGCUUUCUUCAUAGGACUAUUUACCUGAAUCAGAAUCAGUAUCAGUUGUAUAUGCAUAAAUAUCUAUAUCUGAAUCUAUCCCUGAAUCUUCUAUAGGUUCAUAACCGAGAUCAUAUGCAAUUUUUAGUAAGUUUGUUUCUUUCUCUUUUUUAGUCUUUUUUGGACAUUCGUAGGCUUUGUGUCCGUCUUCUUGACAUAUCCAACAUUUACAAUCUUUUUUAUUAGAUGGACAGUAAUUUGUGUUAGAUUGAUAUUUGUUUCUUAUAUUGUUUUCUGUCUCGAAAAUAUUUUCUUUCACCUUGUUUAUAAUAUUGUUUAUAUUUAGGUUUAUAAGUUUGUUUUUUCCAAAUUUUCUUUUUAUAUUUUUGUUUCUUAUUAUCUUUACAACCAUAUUGAUUAACUUUAUUAGAUAGGGUAUCACAACAUAAAUCAAUUCUUGCAUCUUGUGUUGUUUUUUGUUCUAAACAUUUUUUCUGCAUCCAUGCUUUUAAUAUACUUAUCCUUGCUCCUAAGGUAUCUGCAAUUUUAUUUUGUUGUAAUGCUUCUUGGAAAUCUUUUAUUACACUUUGACUUACUAAUGAUGGUAAUUUUUGGUAAAACAUGUCUAAUGCUAUCUUUUUUCUAGUAAAAUCCAGAUUAUAAUAAUGUUCAGAAUAUUCGCAUAUAAAUGGGUCUAAAUAACACAUGUUACAAAUUCGUAAAUUAGUUAGAUGCAAUAAUGAUUCUAAUUGAAAAGCUUCUUGAGAUGUUUUAUCUUCUAUUUGUUUUCCUAUGAAUUCUUGAAUAAGCCGAUUUAAUACAUUUUUAAAUGUUUCCAUGGCGUCAGUGGUAGCUAUCAUCAUCGUCUCUGUUUCAUCGAGAGAUGAAAGGAAACGAUAUGCAUUGCCCUGUGUUUUAUGUAUAAUAUAAUUAAGAAAAUUUUUUGGAUGUAGAUUUCUUAAUUCUUCAGUUAGUUGAAUUUGAAUUCCCAUUUUAUUACUCCAUUCUUGAAUUUUUGCUUCGGGAUUUUGCUCACAAUCAAUAAAAAGAAUAUCUGAAUUUGUUGGAAAAGUAAAUAGUUUAGGUAUAUAUUGUGGAGGUAUUUUUUCCCAUUUAUUUUGUUUAUUUUUGACCAUUCCUUGUCUAUAUAAAAAAUUUUCUUCUAACGAAGGUGGUCCAUAUAUAUAUUGACUUUGAUAAUCAUCUUCAACAUAUGAUUGUUUUCGUUUUAAUCCAAAAUUGUGUUGUGAAUCUCUAUAUGGAUUUAAAUAAGGGUUUUCAUCAUCUGAAGAAAAAUCAUAUAUUACUUCUGCGUCAUCAUUAUCUGAAUUAUUUUCUAUUAUAUUAUUUUCUUAAAUUUCAGACGGAAUUUCUAAUGCUGCAAAUAAUUUAGUUAGUGUUUCUACUUUUUUUUGUAAAGUUUUCAUAUAUAAUAAAAAUUUUAGUUUCUUUUUCUUAGUGAAUUAGUUAUUAUUAACGCUUUUUUUUUUUUAAAACUUAUUGAACAAAUUAAUUUUGUUAUCUUAUCUUCAAGGUUUUUUAUUUGUUCUUGUUUCCAAUUUAUACUAUUAUUUAUUAUAUGUAUUGCUUCAAUAUUAGAUAUACAAUUUAUUAUUGAUAUGUUAGAGUCUAUUUUUAAAUUUAGAAGAAAUUUUUUAGACUGUUUUAAUGUUUUACGAAAAAAUUUUAAUUCUUGUUUAUUUGUGUUUAGGCUUGAAAAACUCAUACUUAUAGCUUGAAUAACUUAUAAUGAUGAUUAUUUAUAUAAUGUUUAUGGUGACAAAUAAAGACGGUCAUACUAAGGAUAGAAAUAAUAGUACAAAUGAAUGCUUAUUAAUAUUUAGAAGUUAUAUGUUUUAAAAUACAAAUAAUUUUGUUUUUAGAUGACGUAUUUGCUUGUAACGAAUUUUAAUACUAGUUUUUAUAAAAUAUCUAACAUCAUGAAUAUAGUUAUUGUUUAAAACCGUACCUUGAUUUUGAGGUUUGUAGGAAUCUUUGAGAUUUUGCUUAGAAUUAUUUAUAGAUUCAUGGAUUUGUUGUAUUUUUAAAAUAAUAUUUCUAUUAGGAAUACAAUUCAUCAAUAUUUUAUUAGACAUAAAUAUAUAUUUUAAGCAUGAAUUUGAUUAAUUUGAUUAUUAUUAAGAACGAGUAUUAUUUUAAUAAAAUUUCAAAUUUUGUAAAAACUCGAAAUGAUAUUAUCAUGGAGAAAUAAAAGUAAUAUAAUGAUUGAAAAUAUCUUUAGACAUAUUUAUGAUAUUAAAUCUUCUUAUGAUAAAUAUCUUAGUUGUUGGUGAUGACUUUUUAAAUAUGAGUAUUUAAAAACAAUGAUCUUUCAUUAUUAUGUUUACGAUGUUGCAUAUGUUUAUUUUCUUAUUGACGAUAGAUUGAAUAUGUAAAAUAAUAAGAACGUUACUUAGCUCUAUACCAAAUUUAAUAACAUGACGGAAUUAAUAAAGAUUAAGAGAAGAUUAUACCUGAAUGAUGCGUUGGAUUAUAUUGAUGAUGGAUUGUGUUGAAUGAUUAGAUAAUUAUGUGGAUAAUUUGGAUAGAACUCUGCUAUUCAGAAAUAGAACAACUAUUUCAACAGAGAAGACAAUUGAGAUCAACUCAAGUCUUAAACACUCAAACUUAGCUUGUUAUUUCAUUUGGGCAAAGGCCCUAUUUAUAGGCUCAAGAGAGCCGGUUACAAUUAUUGUUGCAAUCGUUUGAUUGCAAUACGACAUAUAUAUUUACAUUAUAGCCCCCUAGACUAUUGAGGGUUAUACACUUUAUGUUACAUUAACCGACACUUAAUAAUUAUUCUACCGACACUUAUUUAAUUACAUAACAAUCCUUCUAUCGACACUUUACAUAAUGAAAAAUAUAAUAAUCUCUUUCACAUUGAAAUGACAGGUGUCUUCAAUAAUGUCUUCAAUUAUGGCUUUUUACGUUAUUGCUUACGUCAUUGUGUUAUUAUUUGUCCGUAGAAUGUGACGUAAAUAUUGUGUAGGUAAAAUUAAAAUAAAGUGUGUAACCCUCAGUAGUCUAGGGAGUUAUAUUGUAAAUAUGUAUGUCGUUUUGCAAUCAAACGAUUGUAACUCAAUUAUGUAAUCGACUCUCUUGAGCCUAUAAAUAGGGUCUUUGCCCGUAUGAAAUAAACAAGCGAAGUUUGAGUAUCUAAGACUUGAGUUGAAUCUCAAAGUUCUUCUUCUGUUGAAAUAAUUGUUCUAUUUCUGAAUAGCAGAACCCUAUCCAAACAUACCCAAGAUUAUCCAUAUAAUCAUUCUUAUAAUUUAAACAACGCAUCCCGACGCAUCAUUCAUGUAUAAUCCUAUCCUAACUUUUUCUAUUAAUUCCGUUAUGUUUUUAAAAUUGGUAUCAGAGC
rnacentral:lncRNA from 1 species